AAACUUGAUGAUGAUGAUAUUAUAGAAUAUAUUCUCAAUGGAUUGGAUGCUGAGUACAAUCCGUUUGUGUCUUCUAUGACUAUCAAAGACAACGUCAGUUUGAGUGAUUUAUAUGCUCAACUUCUCUCUUAUGAAGC